AUGAUGGAGCAGUUCAGGGACUGCAGUAGCAGCCUUAAGGCUCCUGAGUCUCCAUUAGGGGAAAACUGCAUCACACCAUCAGUGUCUCCUCUGCUUAUCUGUUGCAAUGAGGAUGGGAGAGGAAGUUUGGGCAUGAGCAUGUGGGCUCAGAGACCUACCUGCAGAUACUGGUCAGAGCUCCUGAGAUGCCAGAGCUUCGUCCUUCAGCCGCACUGUGUGCCAGGCUCGGCAGUGCGGCUGUUUCACGCUCUGUUACCAUAA
rnacentral:lncRNA from 1 species